rnacentral:ncRNA from 1 species
CAACCUCAACUCAUAUGGGACUACUCCCUGAAUUUAAGCAUAUUAAUUAGGGGAGGAAAAGAAACUAACAAGGAUUUUCUUAGUAGCGGCGAGCGAAAAGAAAUCAGUUCAGCACUAAGUCACUUUGUCUAUAUGGCAAAUGUGAGAUGCAGUGUACGGAACAUCAACAUUCUAGUAUGAGAAGUUAACGAUUUAAGUCCUUCUUAAAUGAGGCCAUUUACCCAUAGAGGGUGCCAGGCCCGUAUAACGUUAAUGAUUACUAGAUGGUGUUUCCAAAGAGUCGUGUUGCUUGAUAGUGCAGCACUAAGUGGGUGGUAAACUCCAUCUAAAACUAAAUAUAACCAUGAGACCGAUAGUAAACAAGUACCGUGAGGGAAAGUUGAAAAGAACUCUGAAUAGAGAGUUAAAUAGUACGUGAAACUGCUUAGAGGUUAAGCCCGAUGAACCUGAAUAUCCGUUAUGGAAAAUUCAUCAUUAGAAUUGUAAUAUUUUAAACAAUAUUAUAAUAAUAGUGUGCAUUUUUUCCAUAUAAGGACAUUGUAAUCUAUUAGCAUAAAUAUUUAUCAUAAAAUUAUGUCUGAUUGCUUAUUUGAAUUAUAUGCUUGGCAUUUUAACAUAAAAUAAAAGAUAUAAAUUUGAUAAAGUGCUGAUAGAUUUAUAUGAUUACAGUGCGUUAAUUUUUCGGAAUUAUAUAAUGGCAUAAUUAUCAUUGAUAUUUGUGUUUAUUAUAUGCAUUUGUAUGAUUA